rnacentral:rRNA from 1 species
UACGAAGGGGGCUAGCGUUGUUCGAAUUUACUGGGCGUAAAGCGCACGUAGGCGGAUCGUUAAGUCGGGGGUGAAAUCCUGGAGCUCAACUCCAGAACUGCCUUCGAUACUGGCGAUCUCGAGUCCGGAAGAGGUGAGUGGAACUCCUAGUGUAGAGGUGGAAUUCGUAGAUAUUAGGAAGAACACCAGUGGCGAAGGCGGCUCACUGGUCCGGUACUGACGCUGAGGUGCGAAAGCGUGGGGAGCAAACAGG